UUUCCCCCAAAUCCCACUCCAGCGGUGAGAGCGCCGCCAAAAUAGCACCAAAGCUGCGGCGGCGCACCUCAUCCAUAGCCGCGUCACCCGUGCCCUCUUCAAGCCAUCGCCGUUGCAGGCCCGGGCUCCCGCGGCUGUCGCUGCCGCAGCCGCCGCCGCUGCAUCUGCAGCAGACCUGGGCUCCCGCGGCUGCCGCUGUAGAGGGGCCGCCGCCGCCGCCUUUGCUGCAUCUGCAGCAGACCUGGGCUCCCGCGGCUGCCCCUGUAGAGGGUCCGCCGCCGCCGCUGCAGAGGGUCCGCCGCCGUGGAGCUUGACCGACCUGCUGCCCUCGACAACAACUUCAGGCGGAGGCAUCCGUGCUGCUGCCACCCUGCUCCUACCUUGCCGCCCUUGACCAAUACGUCCUCGGUCUGCAACCUGCUGCAACUAUAGGCGUCUUCUUCAACUUCAGAAUCAAGGGCUCCAUUAG
rnacentral:lncRNA from 1 species